GCCCUCUCCUUUCACUCUGGGCGAGGCCGCGCCUAUUCCGGCGGCACUCGGGAUUCUCCCAUGGCUGUGGCGUUGGCCCCGCGGGGGCGACAGUGGGAAAAGGCCCGCGCCUUUGACCGGGCGGUGAGGCUGCUGCAGCGCCUGGAAGAGCAAUGCAGCGACCCCCGGCUGUCCAUGAGUCCCCCUUCGCUUCGGGACCUGCUGCCCCGCACAGCGCAGCUGCUUCAAGAGGUGGCUCAAGCUCGUCGGGCUGCCGGCGGAGGCGACCCGGGGGAUCCCGGAGGCUCCGAGAACUUUCUAGUUAUCUACCUGGCCAAUCUGGAGGCCAAGAGCAGGCAGGUAGCCGAGCUGCUGCCGCCCCGGGGCCGAAGGAGCGCCAACGACGAACUCUUCCGGGAGGGAUCCAGACUCAGGCGCCAGCUGGCCAAGCUGGCCGUCAUCUUCAGCCACAUGCAUGCAGAGCUUCGAGCGCUUUUCCCUGGGGGAAGGUACUGCGGACAUGUGUACCAGCUCACCAAGGCCCCAGCCCACGUCUUCUGGAGGGAGCGCUGCGGAGCCCGGUGUGUGCUACCCUGGGCUGAAUUUGAGUCGCUCCUGGGCACCUGCCACCCAGUGGAGCCAGGCUGCACGGCCCUGGCCUUGCGCACCACCAUCGACCUCACCUGUAGUGGGCACGUGUCCAUCUUCGAGUUCGAUAUCUUCACCAGGCUCUUCCAGCCAUGGCCAACACUCCUCAAGAACUGGCAGCACCUGGCAGUCAACCACCCAGGCUACAUGGCCUUCCUCACCUAUGACGAGGUCCGGGAGCGUCUGCAGGCCUACAUGGACAAGCCGGGCAGCUACAUCUUCCGCCCCAGCUGUACUCGCCUGGGGCAGUGGGCCAUCGGCUACGUGAGCUCAGAUGGCAGCAUCCUGCAGACCAUCCCUGCCAACAAACCGCUGUCCCAGGUGCUCCUGAAGGGACAAAAGGACGGCUUCUACCUCUACCCAGAUGGAAAGAACCACAACCCAGACCUGACUGAGCUCUGCCAGGCAGGACCCCAGCAGCGCAUCCACGUGUCAGAGGAGCAGCUGCAGCUCUACUGGGCCAUGGACUCCACAUUUGAGCUCUGCAAGAUUUGUGCUGAGAGCAAUAAGGAUGUGAAGAUCGAGCCAUGUGGACAUCUGCUCUGUAGCCGCUGCCUGGCUGCCUGGCAGCACUCAGACAGCCAGACCUGCCCCUUCUGCCGCUGCGAGAUCAAGGGCCGGGAGGCCGUGAGUAUCUACCAAUUCCAUGGCCAGGCUACUGCUGAAGACUCAGGAGAUGGCAGUCACCAGGAAGGCAGGGAGCUGGAGCUGGGGCAGGUGCCCCUUUCGGCCCCUCCACUGCCCCCACGGUCAGAACUGUCCCCGAGGAAACUCAGGAAUGCUCAGACAAAGGUGGCACCUGUGGCCUUCCCCACACUUCGGGCCCCUCUUCCCUUGCCGAGAAUUAAGACUGUGGCCUCAGCCCCACCGGAAGCCACCUCCAGCCCCCACGCCAGGGAGGGGGCUACAGAAGACUUCUAAAGGGGAACUUCCCUCCAGCUGCCCUAGGAGCCCAGGACCCUGCCCCGGCCUGAGGCGGGGCCCCAAGAUGUGCUGCUAACGGGAGCCCCAAGGUCUGGAAGGGGGUGGUGAAUAGGAAAUAAACUGCCAAGCCUGCUCUGUCCUCCAGGGUGCAAAGAGUGCAGUGGCCAGCAGGGGGUAGCACAGGGCAGCGGGCACUGGGAAAGGGCAGUCCCCAGGCCUGGUCCCCACCUGACCCACAGGAGUCCAGACCCCAGCCCCUCCUCCCCUCAUAUCCAGGAGUCCUGACCCCAGCCCAUCCUCCCUCAGACCCAGGAGUCCUGACCCCAGCCCAUCCUCCCUCAGACCCAGGAGUCCAGGCCCCCAGCCCCCUCCAUCCUCAUACCCAGGAGUCCUGACCCCAGCCCCCUCCAUCCUCAUACCCAGGAGUCUAGGUCCCCAGCCCAUCCUCCCUCAGACCCAGGAGUCCAGGCCCCCAGCCCCCUCCAUCCUCAGACCCAGGAGUCCAGGCCCCCAGCCCCCUCCAUCCUCAUACCCAGGAGUCCAGGCCCCCAGCCCCCUCCAUCCUCAGACCCAGGAGUCCAGGCCCCCAGCCCCCUCCAUCCUCAUACCCAGGAGUCCAGGCCCCCAGCCCCCUCCAUCCUCAUACCCAGGAGUCCUGACCCCAGCCCCCUCCAUCCUCAUACCCAGGAGUCCUGACCCCAGCCCAUCCUCCCUCAGACCCAGGAAUCCAGACCUCAGCCCCCUCCUCCCUCAGAUCCAGGAGUCUAGGUCCCCAGCCCAUCCUCCCUCAGACCCAGGAGUCCAGGCCCCCAGCCCCCUCCAUCCUCAGACCCAGGAGUCCAGGCCCCCAGCCCCCUCCAUCCUCAGACCCAGGAGUCCAGGCCCCCAGCCCCCUCCAUCCUCAGACCCAGAAGUCCAGGCCCCAGCCCCCUUCACCCUCUGAUCUUCUAAUGGAAUCUUGGAUCUGGCACAGUGCUCACACUUGUAAUUCCAAGGCUUGGGGAGGCCAAAAGGGAAAGAUUAAGCCUGGGAAGCCAACGUUGCAAGGAGCUGUGAUCGCACCACAGCACUCCAGCCUGGGUGACAGGCCGAGAGGAAAAAAAGGAAACUGGGCCCCCAGGCUUCUCUGCGAUACACAGGAGUCCUGCUCUCAGGAUUUAGGAGUCCAGGAUCCCAAGUUCUCAGAGAAUCAGGCAUCCAACCUUCCUUCUCCAUCAUGGGGAAAAAAAACAUCCCUAGACCCAGCCCCAGACAUCCAGUUAAGUCUCUGUGAAAAUGACCACACGUUUUCCUGAUGGCCAUCCACCCUGCCCUGCCACGCUCUGCUCUUACCCUUCUCUCUGUCCUUCACUCCUCUCUGACAUCUUUCUCCCAGAAUAACUAGUAAUUUCCAGUCUAACUCUUGCUGAGGAAUAAGAGAUACCACCUCAUGACUCAUCUUGGAGUGACCGAAGCCUCCUCCACCUUGUUUAAAAUGCCGGUCAGGAAGCCUCGAGCACUGCCCCACUAGGGCUCACCUUCCAGUAGAGAGAAGGGACCCGUACCUAGGUAGUGAUGACCCAGAGUGGGCACGACUGGGGUAGGGAAUCCCAGGGGGUUGCAGGAACCCAGAGGGGGCACCUGACUCAGCCUGGAAGGUCAGGGAGUGCUUCCAGGAAGAGGCAGUGUCUGAGCUGAGACUUCAAAGAUGAUGAAGUCAGACGUGGUGGCUCACAGCUGUAAUCCCAGCACUUUGGAAGGUUGAGGCAGGCAGGUCGCUUGAGCUCAGAAGUUUGAGACCAGCCUGAGCAGCAUGAUGAAACUCCCACCUCUACAAAAAAUUUUGGAAAAAUUAGCCAGGCAUGGUGGCACAUAUCUGUAAGUCCUAGCUACUCAGGAGGCUGAGGUGGGAGGAUGGCUUGAGUCCGGGAGGUCGAGGCUGCAGUCAGCUGAGAUUACACCACUGCACUCCAGCCUGGGCAACAGAGCAAGACCCUGUCUCAAAAAGGAAAAGAAAAUGUUUUGAAUGAUCAAAAAUAUUUCAACAGACAAAAGGCUUAAAAGAAUGUAUCACAGAUUUGGUUCCAAGCAACAGACACCACCUCAGGGGCAGAAAGGGAAUUUAUGGAGAGGAUCUGGGGUCACUCGCAAAAUCCCAGGAGUGAACUGGGGAAUCAGGAUUGGGAAGUGAGCAGGAAGAAUCCUCGCUGCUGGCCAGUAGUGGUGCUGCAGCCACAGUCACCCAGAACCGGUCUGAUGGGGUCAUGCUAGUGAUGACCACUGGACAUUGUAGUUGUCUUGCUGCCUCUGCUGCCCCAGAAACAGGAUGUGGCUGCUCUUCUCAUUAGCUGUGGCUGGUAACAAAUCACUUCACAACUUA